UACGUAGGGUCCGAGCGUUGUCCGGAAUUAUUGGGCGUAAAGGGCUCGUAGGCGGUCUGUUGCGUCGGGAGUGAAAACUUACAGCUUAACUGUGAGCGUGCUUCCGAUACGGGCAGACUUGAGGUAUUCAGGGGAGAACGGAAUUCCUGGUGUAGCGGUGAAAUGCGCAGAUAUCAGGAGGAACACCGGUGGCGAAGGCGGUUCUCUGGGCCUUACCUGACGCUGAGGAGCGAAAGCGUGGGGAGCGAACAGG
rnacentral:rRNA from 1 species